GAGUUUGAUUCAUGGCUCAGGAUGAACGCUAGCUACAGGCUUAACACAUGCAAGUCGAGGGGAAACGACAUCGAAAGCUUGCUUUGAUGGGCGUCGACCGGCGCACGGGUGAGUAACGCGUAUCCAACCUGCCCACCACUUGGGGAUAACCUUGCGAAAGUAAGACUAAUACCCAAUGAUAUCUCUAGAAGACAUCUGAAAGAGAUUAAAGAUUUAUCGGUGAUGGAUGGGGAUGCGUCUGAUUAGCUUGUUGGCGGGGUAACGGCCCACCAAGGCGACGAUCAGUAGGGGUUCUGAGAGGAAGGCCCCCCACAUUGGAACUGAGACACGGUCCAAACUGCUACGGGAGGCAGCA
rnacentral:rRNA from 1 species